GACGAACGCUGGCGGCGUGCUUAACACAUGCAAGUCGAACGGUGAAGCGCCUUCCUUUUUGGUGGGUGUGGAUGAGUGGCGAACGGGUGAGUAACACGUGAGUAACCUGCCCCCUUCUUCUGGAUAACCGCAUGAAAGUGUGGCUAAUACGGGAUAUUCUGGGUCUGUCGCAUGAUGGGUCUGGGAAAGAUAUUGUUUCGGUGGGGGAUGGGCUCGCGGCCUAUCAGCUUGUUGGUGGGGUGAUGGCCUACCAAGGCGGUGACGGGUAGCCGGCCUGAGAGGGUGGACGGUCACACUGGGACGGAGACACGGCCCAGACUCCUACGGGAGGCAGCAGUGGGGAAUAUUGCACAAUGGGCGCAAGCCUGAUGCAGCGAAGCCGCGUGAGGGAUGGAGGCCUUCGGGUUGUGAACCUCUUUCGCCAGUGAAGCAGGCCUGCCUCGUUUGUGGGUGGGUUGACGGUAGCUGGAUAAGAAGCGCCGGCUAACUACGUG
rnacentral:rRNA from 1 species